AUAUAAAUCGGUUGCCAAAGUACGUUAAAUAUUACGUUAAACUCUAUUUUCAUGUACUGCUCAGUCUGCCGCAGCCAUGCACGGGAUUGCAGCUCUUUACUGCUUUGCGGCCGCAGUAGGCGUCGUCUACGGUCAGUGCACAGUCAAGAUAAAGGUCACUGGGCAGCCUGUCGAUGUCACCAAGGCAGACGGAAUAUGGCAUGAAUAUCGGCAUUUCGAUAUGGAUCAACCGUAUGACGCAACAAAGGACUCUACCAGCUACAAUUUACUAAUGAACGUGACCAUUCUCGGUAUCAAUCCCGAACCGGGUAAAGACGCUGGCUCCACUAGCUACGCGGUCAGCUGGAUGUACAACGGUCUGCAACCCGGAGCAGCAGCAACCGAUCCUCUGACCUGUGGGGCGAUUUGGCUGUAUGGCAACUAAAAUUCCGAUGGACGUCGUAUUGUCAAGGUCCAGGCUGACAACAAGCCGCCUUACAAUGAUAUCUACGAUUAUACCUAUACGAAUCUCUUCACGGAUUAUAAACUGGUACAAGUGAUGUGUCGCUGCGAUACGCCCAACGCCAAUGGCGUGACGUGCGACUCCCCGUUCGCUUGGGUGUUGACACGCAUAAAGCCGCCGCUGUUGACCACCGCGCAGAAACAGUACAUCGAGGCCGU